rnacentral:rRNA from 1 species
GCUUACGGCCACACCACCCUGAGCGCCCCCGAUCUCGUCUGAUCUCGGAAGCUAAGCAGGGUCGGGCCUGGUUAGUACUUGGAUGGGAGACCGCCUGGGAAUACCAGGUGCCGUAAGCU